UACGUAGGGGGCAAGCGUUGUCCGGAAUCAUUGGGCGUAAAGAGCGCGUAGGCGGUCCGGUAAGUCGGUUGUGAAAACUGGGGGCUCAACCCUCAGAGGCCGACCGAUACUGCCGGGCUAGAGUCCGGAAGAGGCGAGUGGAAUUCCUGGUGUAGCGGUGAAAUGCGCAGAUAUCAGGAGGAACACCAAUGGCGAAGGCAGCUCGCUGGGACGGUACUGACGCUGCGGCGCGAAAGCGUGGGGAGCAAACAGG
rnacentral:rRNA from 1 species